AAUAGGAAGAGGCAAUUACGUCAAAAUAAAAAAGUAAAAGAACAGAAGAGAAGAUUUUUGUUGUCAUCGUAAUCAGGAGCCUUUUUAUCUGCCAAAUGGCGAGCAUCCUUUCUCCUCCCUUCCCAUGUACUCUUUUAACGUUCAUUUUCUCUUUUAUUUUUUGAAAUAUUUCUCAAUAAUUUCGCUCCCUCUUAGGUGCAAUGGCCGCUAAAACGAUCGUGGAGGAAAAACCAUUCUAUCAGGGAUAGUGGAUGGAAGCACCAAUUUACCUAUCGACAUUUCAUGCUUUGAAUUGAUUAAGCCAAGCUUUGAUGAGACCAACCAGCAUUGUUCUCUUGAUGUCUUGCCUAUCCUAAUUGAGGAGACUUCAUUUCCAGUAAGAGAAAAAAGCAGCUUAAACACUUCACAUGUCUCGGAUGCCUAUAGCUUUUCUGUGUUGCCUGAGGCAGGAAACAUGAGUCUAAACUGUACACGGUUAACGUUUUUGAGCCUCCUAGAAGUUCCCUUUUCAUCUAAAAACCAGAUGUGUUUGGAUGCGCAAUUGAGUUUCCAGAACUGCAUUGAUUUGAAAGUGGACAGAGAAGACGCUUAUUCAUCUUGCUUUCUGGAUAUAAACAUCGAGAAAGAGACUCCUGACAUAUUUAAAUCCAGUGAUAAAACUGUUGGAAAUUUGAAAAGUGAAGGUGUAGUGACAGUAUGGUUGAUCUCCUAUCUGUAUAAAUCAGGCCUAUUUAGUAAAAUGUAGAUCAUACGUACAGUGUCGGAAAUGAGAAUUGUUUAUUUAAUUAUCAAGUGUUGCUGAUUUUCCUUCCUUGAGUUAUUGGUACAUUGUUUCUUCUUCACUCUUGACUCUAAUGUUAGAUCUCAAUGUUUUACAGCAUUUGCAGAAGGUGUUGCAGAGGCAAGCAAGCUUAUCUGUAGACAAAUCAUCAACCGAGAGGGUUUAUGAUGCACCUACGACCAGAUGGAGGUAUAAACGAGCCGCGUCAUUUGACUCAAGGAAAAUGGUCCUGCUUUUCUCAAUCUUAUUUGAGCAAACAAAGAUGCGUCUUCUGAAUGAAUGAAUGUGUACUCAUCUUCUUGAUUGGGUGGAUGAUAUUAAUGGACGUUGGUUGGGAAGCAAUCAUAAUGUUUCUUAGUACUGACAUGGUCAAGUGUGGGGACAUUGAUUUUGAUUUAUCUGACGCUCACAAACAAUUGAUGGGUUCAAUCAUGUCCUCUUAUCAUGUUUUUCUUUAACAACUGCUGCUUUAUGUUAGCUUUCCUCUGUAAAUAUGAUUAACGUGUUUCUAGUGGGCACUGAAAAUGAAGCCACAAUAGUUUUUAUUUCCUGAGCUUUUUUUUGUUGGGUUUGUGUUCGUUGAGGUUUUUCUUUUUAAGAAAAAAUGGUGAUUCGAAUUAA